rnacentral:misc_RNA from 1 species
GUAGGUGAACCUGCGGAAGGAUCAUUACCGAAGUACAGGCCCCUUCGGGGGCUACACUUCCACCCUUUGUCAACUAUACUUUGUUGCUUUGGCGCGCCGCCCUCGGGCACCGGCCUCGGCUGGGGAGCGCGCGCCAGAGAAAACCCAAACCCAAACUUUUUAGUGUCGUCUGAAAACAAGUUUAAUUAUUAAAACUUUCAACAACGGAUCUCUUGGCUCUGGCAUCGAUGAAGAACGCAGCAUCUGACUG